GUUUGAUCCUGGCUCAGAUUGAACGCUGGCGGCAUGCCUUACACAUGCAAGUCGAACGGCAGCACGGGUGCUUGCACCUGGUGGCGAGUGGCGAACGGGUGAGUAAUACAUCGGAACGUACCUUAUCGUGGGGGAUAACGCAGCGAAAGCUGUGCUAAUACCGCAUACGCCCUGAGGGGGAAAGCGGGGGAUCGAAAGACCUCGCGCGAUUAGAGCGGCCGAUGCCUGAUUAGCUUGUUGGUGGGGUAAAAGCCCACCAAGGCGACGAUCAGUAGCUGGUCUGAGAGGACGAUCAGCCACACUGGGACUGAGACACGGCCCAGACUCCUACGGGAGGCAGCAGUGGGGAAUUUUGGACAAUGGGGGCAACCCUGAUCCAGCAAUGCCGCGUGAGUGAAGAAGGCCUUCGGGUUGUAAAGCUCUUUUGUCAGGGAAGAAACACCGGCUCUAACACAGUCCGGGAAUGACGGUACCUGAAGAAUAAGCACCGGCUAACUACGUGCCAGCAGCCGCGGUAAUACGUAGGGUGCGAGCGUUAAUCGGAAUUACUGGGCGUAAAGCGUGCGCAGGCGGUUAUACAAGACAGGCGUGAAAUCCCCGGGCUUAACCUGGGAAUGGCGCCUGUGACUGUAUAGCUAGAGUGUGUCAGAGGGGGGUAGAAUUCCACGUGUAGCAGUGAAAUGCGUAGAUAUGUGGAGGAAUACCAAUGGCGAAGGCAGCCCCCUGGGAUAACACUGACGCUCAUGCACGAAAGCGUGGGGAGCAAACAGGAUUAGAUACCCUGGUAGUCCACGCCCUAAACGAUGCUGACUAGUUGUUCGGGAUUUACAUCCUGAGUAACGUAGCUAACGCGUGAAGUCAGCCGCCUGGGGAGUACGGUCGCAAGAUUAAAACUCAAAGGAAUUGACGGGGACCC
rnacentral:rRNA from 1 species